AUUGAACGCUGGCGGCAGGCCUAACAAAUGCAAGUCGAACGAGUGGCGGACGGGUGAGUAAUGUCUGGGAAACUGCCUGAUGGAGGGGGAUAACUACUGGAAACGGUAGCUAAUACCGCAUACCAUCGGAUGUGCCCAGAUGGGAUUAGCUAGUAGGUGGGGUAACGGCUCACCUAGGCGACGAUCCCUAGCUGGUCUGAGAGGAUGACCAGCCACAGUGGAACUGAGACACGGUCCAGACUCCUACGGUGGGCAGCAGUGGGGAAUAUUGCUCAGAGUGCGCAAGCCUGAUGCAGCCGUGCCGGGUGUAUGAAGAAGGCCUUCGGGUUUUAAUGUACUUUCAGCGGUGAGGCGUUACCCGCAGAAGAAGCACCGGCUAACUCCGUGCCAGCAGCCGCAGUAAUUC
rnacentral:rRNA from 1 species